rnacentral:lncRNA from 1 species
AGUUAUCUGGGUGAGCAGGCAGCGGACAAGUGACGUCUCCCGGCCUGCUGCCCCAGGCCCCCCACAAGCCGCGUUCUGGGGCCGUGGCCUCCCCAGAGCAGAUCAGUGGGGGCUGUGUGAGCAACACUGGGGGCAGCUGGGCAGCGCCUCCCUGGAGGCCCCUCUGAAAUCCCGCCGGAUGCUGGCAGGCUCCAAGGGGGCUGGACACCAUCUUCUCAGGUUGAAGCAAGUCCUGGUUGAGUUCCUAGUCCAGGAGGUGGGAUGGGUGAGGGGUGGAGGGCAGAGGAGAAACUGCGUCAGGGAUGUGUCCGCCACCUUCAUCCUCCAGACGGGACUUGGGAGCGGCUGCAGGAAACCCUGAGAGAUUCCUCUUUAGGGAAGUCAUCCAGCCCUGGGGUCCCCUUAUGCCGGGAGCAGUGAGGACAGAAGAAUGACCAUCUAUCUUGCUGAAAGCUCUGUGAGGGAGGAACGGAAGAACGGAGGGAGCUACGACCUUGACCAUCCCCUGAGUGUCCAUGGCCUCUGUGCUCCGGAUGAUGCCGGGGCUGCCAGGGACCACAGAGCCACCCACUGGGAGGCUGGGGGUUGGCCUGGCUCAGGGGCGUUCGUCAGCCAUAGACACCCACAGCAUGUGGUGGGCAGGGCUGGGAGGUGACACAGGAACUGAAAAACCUGAGAAGCUCCAGCCACUCCGCAGGGUAAGUGCCACCUGGGGUAAAAUGAUUAGCUGGUUCCAGCCCCUCCGCAGGGUAAGUGGCACCUGGGGUAAAAUGACUGCCUGGAGCUGGCAGCUGCUUUCUCUGCUCUCCCCAGGGCCCUGCAGGGAAGCGUGGAAAGGCGGCACAGGGCUGGACCCAGAGGAGCUCUCAGAUGCUGGACUGGACUGUUUCAGGGGUCAUCUAGCCCAUUCCCCGCCUCCAGGCGAGGAUUUGCUUGAGCCUGGAAAGAUGAAGGAUCCUCCCAGUGCCGUCAAGCCCCGGAUUCCACCUCCCUGUAGGUGGACUGCCAGCGCAGGCCCUGACAACGCAGAGAAAGACACAGGACCCAGCUGGGCCAGUGACAGCAGGAGCUCCUGGUGCCACAGGAAUGGAAACUGUGACUCAUAAUAGCCAGCUAGUCAAUGAUUAUUCCCCCCAGUCCCUGGCGCAUCAAGAUUUGCUGGACCAUUUCACUUUGACUGAAAAAGCUGGAGCUGCCUUAAAGAAACUUCUUGGGC